AGCCUCUUGUAGUAAAAUUAAGAGGUGGAGCCUGCCCGGUGACUUACGAGUUAAACGGCCGCGGUACCCUGACCGUGCUAAGGUAGCAUAUAAUACGCCCUUUAAUUGUGGGCUAGAAUGAAUGGACAAACGAAGGUAAAGCUGUCUCCCUAAUACAAAAAUAAGUUUACCUUUAGGUGAAAAGGCCUAAAUUCUAUUAAAAGACAAAAAGACCCCGUAGAGCUUAAUUACCACACUAUAGGGGUGGAAAACAAUUUAUCCACCCCUAUAAAAAAAAUAAUUUAGCUGGGGCGGCUAAGGAGCAAUACACACCCUCCUCUUCUAUUAACGGUUAACCCACCAACCAACACUGAUCCUUUACUGAUUAGAGAAAAAAGCUACCUCGGGGAUAACAGGCUAAUAUCUCUCAAGAGUACGUAUUGAAAGAGAUGUUUGGCACCUCGAUGUUGGCUUAGGAGACCCUAGGAGUAGCAGAAGCCCCAAAGGCGGGUUUGUUCAACCCUUAAACUCCU
rnacentral:rRNA from 1 species